rnacentral:lncRNA from 1 species
UGCUAUUUCUGGACAAGGAGCCAGGCCUGAGACGGCACUUUCUGGGCUUCCCCUCGCUCUGCAGGGUCUCUCGCUGGGUUCUGAGAGCUCAACCCUCCUGUGGGACACAGCUGGGAGGCUUCAUCGAGGGGGCAUCUGCAGCAGGCAGGCUGUGGUCUGAGGCUGUGCAAAGCAGGGCCCGAGCAGCUCCGGGACAGAAUGCACGGAACUGCAAGCCCAACUCCACACCACUGCUGCCCUUUGCUUUUCUAGAAGCACCGCCUGGGCUGCUCCGGUAACAGCCAGGAGAUGACGGGAGCAGGAGGCCAGGGAGGAAGCAAAGAUCAGCUCUGUGAAACCAUGACGGCAGAGCCAGAUGCCUGCAGCCACGCACAGCCCCAGUGCCCUUGAGGAUGAAGGCUGUGGGUCCCGGCAGGAUCUGGAGGCGGAGGCUGAGCUGUCAUUGACACAGAUUCUUGGCGAUCCUCUCCAGGACCCACCCUUGGAAGCCUGAAUCCAUCAGUGUGAGCGUGCCACGAGUGACUCCAUUCUGCUCAAGACAAUUUCCCCACUGUGAAUCAACUGCGCUGCGUCCUGAGAGCCUAGAGAAGCAGCGUGCGGGGCAAGGCUGUAAGGAAUCCACCGAGUGCUGCUGCGCUGUGGGUGUCAUGCUGCAGAAAGGUGCUUGCUUAGCGUGUGAUCUCCAGCACUGCAAUAAAUAAGUAAACAAACAUCGAAACAUUUUUUAAAAAGGAAUUUGUUUAGUGAAUGAAAGCUCUGGUCCGGGCUGGUCUGCAGCAAGUGUCCAUGCAAAACUGGAUGAUGUGCCCUGGGAGCUCACCCGCUACGGGCUAAAGUAUUUAAUACAAUAUUUAAAAAUUCUGCACUGAUGCCCAGAACUCCAUGAAAACCCCAUCUCAUGAUGUCAAAUCGACAUGGGCUCUGAGCCUGCCCUAGUCCUGGCAAUGAGUACUAAGCACAGUCCAUGUUGCAUGGAGGCACUGCCAUCCUGAGAUGGACAGGAGGAAACAGGCAGAAAGGCAAGUGAAGGUGCCGGAGACCUGGA